CCCCUCUCCCGGCUUUCCCCAGAGGGAGGGAGAGCCGGUCAUAGAACGCGCAUCCCUUCCCUUAGGGGCACGAAAACACACGAGUCAAGGAAGAGCCCCCACGCCCCGGGUGCAGCUGGAUUUCCCAGGGGACCACAGCCCUCCAGUUGCAGGUUGCCGAACUUCGUCCCACGUUCCCAGCCACCACUCUCUCCGUGUAGCACUCUCAACUCUUCCAAUGCACCUACCCGGGAACCCAUGGGCCACACAUCUGACCUGCACACGAACAUCCAGAAUCCUGACAACACGCCGGCAGACAGGGAAGCAGUUUACCCCAGGACCCCUGGAGAAAGCCCUGGGCACACCAGGCUCCACCAGUGAGCACACCAAACGGGACAUCUUCCCACCUCCAUGAGCCGACACUGAGCCGG